rnacentral:rRNA from 1 species
AGUGAACGCUAGCGGUGCGCCUAACACAUGCAAGUCGAGCGAGGCUUCGAGCCGAGCGGCGAACGGCUGCGUAACACGUUGGUACCUGCCCUAAACUCAGGGAUAACCCCGCGAAAGCGGGGAUAAUACCGGAUAGUCCUGCAAAGGUAAAGAUUUUUCGGUUUAGGAGGGCCUGCGGCCUAUCAGCUAGUUGGUAAGGUAAUGGCUUACCAAGGCUAUGACGGGUAGCUGAUCAGAGAGGAUGAUCCGCCACACUGGAACUGAGACACGGUCCAGACUCCUACGGGAGGCAGCAGUGGGGAAUUUUGGACAAUGGGCGCAAGCCUGAUCCAGCCAUGCCGCGUGAGUGAAGAAGGCCUCGGUUGUAAGCUCUUUCGGUCCGGGAGAAUACGCACAGGUUAAU